rnacentral:lncRNA from 1 species
UGAAGUUCAACAUUUAUAAUUGUUUAAUUUACGGAUUAAGUUCCGUCUCACUUUGAAGUUGGAAUUGAAGAAGUAUAAAAAAACUGACCGGAAUAUCAUCCACAAAGACGAAAAAUCGACAGAUUAUUAGAUUGUUUCGAUCGGACCGAACAUGAGCCUCUUUACAACCAUAAGCUUCAAUACUGAUACUGAAAAUUGAAAACAGUACAGAAAUGAAGUACUACUGUCAGUUGAUUGUCACAUUUGAAUUUUACCUACCCUUUCCUGUCCAAGAACAGUAAAAAAACCAGAAUGCUUCCCUUUCCCUUUUGCUCCAGAAUUUAUCUUCUUUUGAUACAGGUUUUGGUUAAUGAGUCAAGUCAAAAAGCUUCUCUUUCUUUCUUUCUGUAGUUUUAUGUUAGGGUUUAGUAGUAAGGUACUGAAUGAAUGAAUGUGUAAUCACCAUCGUCACUCAUUGUUAUAUUUUUCUACUGUUUUGGCAUAAGAUUUUCCCGAUGGUGACAGCCCUCCGACAGGUGAAGAAGGAUUUGGGAAAGAAGAAGGGAAAAGAUGGUUAAUUUGGUGCAACAAGUCACUCGGGAAUAACUGUAUAUUGGUACUGGUACUACUUUACCAGCCAGUUGGGGGGAUUUUGUACGUACCAUUUCCCUCAAGAGAAAUUGCAUGUGCUUAUGCUCUUAGUUUGUCCACACUCUAUUCUUCUCGUUGUCUCUCCAUGACGACCUAUGCAUUACAAAGACGUAUUCCCAUGAACUAUAUGGAUUUAAUAUUACAAAUGAUGUUAUG